rnacentral:lncRNA from 1 species
AUUGUGUCCCUGAAGUGACUCCAAAAUGUCCCAUAAAUGUGUCCCCAAAAUGUGACCCCAAAAUGUGACCCCAAAUGUCCCCAAAUUGACCCCAUAUGUCCCCAAAAUGUGACCCCAAAAAUGUGUCCCCAAAUGUCCCCAUAAGUGUGUCCCCAAAAUGUGUCCCCAAAGGGACCUUUGAGAGCUGUGUCCCAAAAUGUCCCCAAAAUUGUGUCCCCAAAUUGUCCCAAAAUGUGACCCCAAAUGUCCCCAAAAUGUGACCCCAAAUGUCCCCAAAAUGUGUCCCCAAAGUGUGUCCCCAAAGUGCCCCAAAGUGUGACCCCAAAUGUCCCCAAAGUGACACGGGGACAUUGGAUGGGGACACUGGGAUAUGGGGUAUGGGGACAUCAUUGGGAUAUGGGGACAUUGGGAUUUGGGGACGUCAUUGGGAUUUGGGGACAUCACUGGGAUAUGGGGACAUCAUUGGGAUUUGGGGACGUCAUUGGGAUUUGGGGACAUCACUGGGAUUUGGGGGCAUUAUUGGGAUAUGGGGACGUCAUUGGGAUUUUGGGGCAUCACUGGGAUUUGGGGACACGGGGACAGGAAGGGGACAAACUGGGGUGGCUGACGGGUGGGUGGUGCUGGCGGUGCCAUCAUGUCGGCGCCGUCCCCCCCCCGGAUCCCCCGGCCAACAGCAGAGGGAGGAGAGCAGGGGUGGCACCAGUGUCACCGUUGUCACCGUUGUUGUGACCCUCGUUGUCACCGUCGUCGUCACCGUCAUCGUCACCGUCCCGUGCCGGGCGCAGCACGCGGUUGUGCAGACGGCUGUAGCGGCGUGCGCACAGACUGCGGGGUGACAACGGGUGACACCAUUGGGUGACACCACUGGGUGACACCUCCGGGUGACAGCUCUGGGUGACACAAUGGGUGACAGCAUUGGGUGACGCCGUUGAGUGACACCUCUGGGUGACACCACUGGGUGACAACUCCGGGUGACAGCACUGGGUGAUGCCAUUGGGUGACACAAUGGGUGACACCAUUGGGUGAUACCAUUGGGUGACACCACUGGGUGACACUGUUUCAUGACAACUCCAGGUGACACCACUGAGUGACAACUCUGGGUGACACCAUUGGGUGAUGCCAUUGGGUGACACAAUGGGUGACACCUCUGGGUGACACCAUUGAGUGACACCUCUGACUGACAUCACUGGGUGACGCCAUUGGGUGACACAAUGGGUGACACCACUGGGUGACAGCUCUGGGUGACAGCACUGGGUGACACCAUUGGGUGGCAAAAUGGGUGACAUCUCUGGGUGACACCACUGGGUGACACAAUGGUGACAUCGUUGGGUGACGCCAUUGGGUGACGCUUCUGAGUGACACCACUGGGUGACACCACCAGGUGAUGGCCCUGUCCCAGUCCUCCCAGUUCUCCCAGUUCAUCCCAGUCCUCCCAAUCCUCCCAGUCCAUCCCAGUCCCUCCCAGUCCAGCCCAGUC